UACAUGGGGUGCAAACGUUGCUCGGAAUUAUUGGGCGUAAAGCGCACGUAGGCGGUUCGUUAAGUCGGAUGUGAAAGCCCUCGGCUCAACUGAGGAAGUGCACCCGAAACUGGCGAGCUUGAGUACGAAAGAGGAUCGCGGAAUUCCCGGUGUAGAGGUGAAAUUCGUAGAUAUCGGGAGGAACACCGGUGGCGAAGGCGGCGAUCUGGGUCGAUACUGACGCUGAGGUGGCGAAAGCGUGGGGAGCAAACAGG
rnacentral:rRNA from 1 species